rfam:Astyanax mexicanus chromosome 24, whole genome shotgun sequence.
AAGGUCUCCUACGCCACAGCCAUGGACUGGUUCAUCGCUGUGUGCUUCGCCUUC